GACAAUCAACAGCCAGCGCCCCGACUUUCGUUUCGCUGUGGCGUAUUUUGUUUUUAUCCACCGCUUGGUUCACGAAUUUUACCUAUAUUUGAGUGGAAUUUACGCCAAAAUCUAUCGGCUAUAAGAUAAUAAGGUGAUGCCGGUAAGAUUUUGAUUUCUCUACCUGAUCAUUGAGGGUGGAUAAGUGGCAGGAGAAUUAGUAAUGGGAUGAUAAACUAAAGAAAAUGGGGAUCGACGAAGGACCAUUCGACCCCUGGCAGGUGACGCAGAUGGCAAGCAGAUAAGUUUGACAUUAACAGACCUGAUCAAGCCGCGAUAACAGACAAACAUGACUCACCACGAAAGUAUUCCUGUCCCUUGAGUGAUUGUCACAUAUAGCGGAAACUCCUGACCACAGCAUGACUUGUAAAACGAUCUACAUAAUUGGUCGACGGUGACAACCCAGACAGGAAAAAUGCUAAACAAUGCCAUGGCGCAUUAUGAAAACGUUUGUUUGCCCAACACUCCACGCAAGAUUAUUCCAGAUGAUUUCUUGACACAAACACAAGUUACUCCGACGUCGCGAACCUUGUCAACCCCAAAAAUCCCAAAGACUGAUUUGCGGCCUUAUCUCACUGUGUUGCUAGUGGUCCGCUAUCAAACCUUUUCAACYCCCMAAAUCCCAACGUUAUUUUCUGGRUGAUUUGAGUUUGUAUUUUGACUUCGUAAAUCUUCACAAGCAUAGUCGGACCACCGAAUGAAAUAUCUGAGUAAAAGAUCUUUGGAAAGGACGAGGUCUAUGAAAUUCAAGGGAAAUCAGCUCAGGUUUUAGGGGUUGAACGACUCUUGGACACUGCUUCAAUCCCAUGGUGUGGUCUCUCAAGUGCCUCUUCCUGACAUUCUCAAACGACGAAGUGAUCCCGUUUUUGUCCAAGUGUAACACAGGAAAAUUGAAAGAUAAGGAGAACUCCAUGUCAAGUGUUUGAAUGUAUGCAGGUGUCUGCAGAUCACUCUAUUUAAUAAAGUGAGGUCUUCCGUUGAUCCAAGCAKUGGGCUAUUGGCAUACACUAGGGGUACAAGGCGAUUGUACGGUUAUGUGGUCCCUGUAAGUGGCAGCCAUUCACGGAUCAUAGCCCUGUAUCAUYUCGUCGCUUCGCGAGUUCUCAGUUCGCUCAUUACAACGUGUAACAUUCACUAAAAGGAAUAAAAUUGAAACUAUUCUGA